AGUAAUGUAUGGGGAUCUGCCUGAUGGCGGGGGAUAACUACUGGAAGCGGUGCUAAUACCGCAUAAUGUCUGCGGACCAAAGCGGGGGACCUCCGGGCCUCGCGCCAUCAGAUGAACCCAUAUGGGAUUAGCUAGUAGGUAAGGUAACGGCUUACCUAGGCGACGAUCCCUAGCUGGUCUGAGAGGAUGAUCAGCCACACUGGGACUGAGACACGGCCCAG
rnacentral:rRNA from 1 species